rnacentral:misc_RNA from 1 species
AACUUUUGGCAACGGCUCACUUGGCUCUGGCAUCGAUGAAGAACGCAGCGAAAUGCGAUAAGUAAUGUGAAUUGCAGAAUUCAGUGAAUCAUCGAAUCUUUGAACGCACAUUGCGCCCGCUAGUACUCUAGCGGGCAUGCCUGUUCGAGCGUCAUUUCAACCCUCAAGCCCUGCUUGGUGUUGGGGCCCUACGGCUGCCGUAGGCCCUGAAAGGAAGUGGCGGGCUCGCUGCAACUCCGAGCGUAGUAAUUCAUUAUCUCGCUAGGGAGGCGCGGCGCGCUCCUGCCGUUAAAGACCCCAUCUUUAACCAAGGUUGACCUCGGAUCAGGUAGGAAUACCCGCUGAACUUAAGCAUAUCAAUAAGCGGAGGCU